ACCCCUCUUUGAGUUGUUGUUUUUUUUUUUUUUGGGGGGGGGGGGAGGAAAUAAAUCCUCCCCCCCCCCCCAAAAAAAAAAAAAACAACAACUCAAAGAGGGGUA
rnacentral:pre_miRNA from 1 species